AUGCACCCCAAGCAACCACUCCAAAUGGAUAGAGUAUGACUUGGGUCGAUGUGUACAGUGACCAGAAUCACUAAAAAAUUCGUCAUUUUUGACACUUAGAAGCUAAUGCACUGAGUAACAGCUUUAAGACCCAUAGAGUUUGUGAAAACAG